GGGUUGUGAGGUUAAGCGACUAAGCGUACACGGUGGAUGCCCUGGCAGUCAGAGGCGAUGAAGGACGUGCUAAUCUGCGAUAAGCGUCGGUAAGGUGAUAUGAACCGUUAUAACCGGCGAUUUCCGAAUGGGGAAACCCAGUGUGAUUCGUCACACUAUCAUUAACUGAAUCCAUAGGUUAAUGAGGCGAACCGGGGGAACUGAAACAUCUAAGUACCCCGAGGAAAAGAAAUCAACCGAGAUUCCCCCAGUAGCGGCGAGCGAACGGGGAGCAGCCCAGAGCCUGAAUCAGUGUGUGUGUUAGUGGAAGCGUCUGGAAAGGCGCGCGAUACAGGGUGACAGCCCCGUACACAAAAAUGCACAUGCUGUGAGCUCGAUGAGUAGGGCGGGACACGUGGUAUCCUGUCUGAAUAUGGGGGGACCAUCCUCCAAGGCUAAAUACUCCUGACUGACCGAUAGUGAACCAGUACCGUGAGGGAAAGGCGAAAAGAACCCCGGCGAGGGGAGUGAAAAAGAACCUGAAACCGUGUACGUACAAGCAGUGGGAGCACGCUUAGGCGUGUGACUGCGUACCUUUUGUAUAAUGGGUCAGCGACUUAUAUUCUGUAGCAAGGUUAACCGAAUAGGGGAGCCGAAGGGAAACCGAGUCUUAACUGGGCGUUAAGUUGCAGGGUAUAGACCCGAAACCCGGUGAUCUAGCCAUGGGCAGGUUGAAGGUUGGGUAACACUAACUGGAGGACCGAACCGACUAAUGUUGAAAAAUUAGCGGAUGACUUGUGGCUGGGGGUGAAAGGCCAAUCAAACCGGGAGAUAGCUGGUUCUCCCCGAAAGCUAUUUAGGUAGCGCCUCGUGAAUUCAUCUCCGGGGGUAGAGCACUGUUUCGGCAAGGGGGUCAUCCCGACUUACCAACCCGAUGCAAACUACGAAUACCGGAGAAUGUUAUCACGGGAGACACACGGCGGGUGCUAACGUCCGUCGUGAAGAGGGAAACAACCCAGACCGCCAGCUAAGGUCCCAAAGUCAUGGUUAAGUGGGAAACGAUGUGGGAAGGCCCAGACAGCCAGGAUGUUGGCUUAGAAGCAGCCAUCAUUUAAAGAAAGCGUAAUAGCUCACUGGUCGAGUCGGCCUGCGCGGAAGAUGUAACGGGGCUAAACCAUGCACCGAAGCUGCGGCAGCGACGCUGAUGCGUUGUUGGGUAGGGGAGCGUUCUGUAAGCCUG
rnacentral:rRNA from 1 species